rnacentral:rRNA from 1 species
CCUACGGGAGGCAGCAGUAGGGAAUAUUGCUCAAUGGGGGAAACCCUGAAGCAGCAACGCCGCGUGGAGGAUGAAGGUUUUCGGAUUGUAAACUCCUUUUGUUAGAGAAGAUAAUGACGGUAUCUAACGAAUAAGCACCGGCUAACUCCGUGCCAGCAGCCGCGGUAAUACGGAGGGUGCAAGCGUUACUCGGAAUCACUUGGCGGAAAGAGCGCGGAGGCGGGAUAGCAAGUCAGAUGUGAAAUCCUAUGGCUUAACCAUAGAACUGCAUUUGAAACUGUUAUUCUAGAGUAUGGGAGAGGUAGGUGGAAUUCUUGGUGUAGGGGUAAAAUCCGUAGAGAUCAAGAGGAAUACUCAUUGCGAAGGCGACCUGCUAGAACAUAACUGACGCUGAUGCGCGAAAGCGUGGGGAGCAAACAGGAUUAGAUACCCGGGUAGUC